rnacentral:lncRNA from 10 species
AGCCUCUUCAGAUGUCACUUGCCAUGUGGUAAGGAAGUGUAGUCAGCAGCUGGUGCAGUGGGAAGAAGAGAAAGGAAGUUCCCCAAGACAAAAACAUCUCGGCAGACCGUGAUCAUGGGCUACAUUCUCCGUACCAGCUUCAUAGCUCCAGUGAGAAAAUAAAUUCCUGCAUCCAGGAGAUGUGGAGUAAGAGAUACAGCUGCCCUUGACCAUAUUUCUUACUUCCGAGAAGAUCGUAGCAGUAAUUCAGUACAGUCUUCAGGGAACACCAAGGCCUGUUUGAUUUUCCAAGUAUCAACAAGUGGAGUUGACAAGAGUGACAAGUGGUCAGAGCAAAGCAUUUCAUGAUGACUGUAACGUGCCUGUGUCAGCAGCGACUGCUUACAGUGAGAUUCACAUGACCAUCGUUUAUGACAUAGGAAGAAUAAAAGGAGAGAGAGAGAGAAAGAUAGGUAGUUGAUCAAAAUGAAGAAUUGGAUU